UACGGAGGGUGCAAGCGUUAAUCGGAAUUACUGGGCGUAAAGCGUACGUAGGUGGUUUGUUAAGCUAGCUGUGAAAUCCCCGGGCUCAACCUGGGCACUGCAGUUAGAACUGGCAAGCUAGAGUAGGGUAGAGGGGUGUGGAAUUCCAGGUGUAGCGGUGAAAUGCGUAGAGAUGUGGAGGAACACCGAUGGCGAAGGCAGCCCCCUGGGCUGAGAUUGACGCUCAGGCACGAAAGCGUGGGGAGCAAACAGG
rnacentral:rRNA from 1 species